AUUGAACGCUGGCGGCAGGCCUAACACAUGCAAGUCGAACGAGUGGCGGACGGGUGAGUAAUAUCUGGGAAACUGCCCGAUGGGGGGGGAUAAAUCCUGGAAACGGUAUCUAAUACCGCAUCCACUCGGAUGUGCGCAGAUGGGAAUAGCUAGUAGGUGGGGUAACGGCUCACCUAGACGACGAUCACUAUAUGGUCUGAGAGGAUGACAAGCCAUACUGGAACUGAGACACGGUCCAGACUCCUACGGGAGGCAGCAGUGGGGAAUAUUGCACAAUGGGCGCAAGCCUGAUGCAGCCAUGCCGCGUGUGUGAAGAAGGCCUUCGGGUUGUAAAGUACUUUCAGCGAGGAGGCGUUACUCGCAGAAGAAGCACCGGCUAACUCCGUGCCAGCCGCCGCGGUAAUAC
rnacentral:rRNA from 1 species